UCUGGUGUAUCAAGUCCAUAUUUACAUAAUCAUCUUUCUUUUCAGGUUACACCAACAUUGGGUUUAUUUCUAAGAUACUUUUGUAUCAGGUCAAUAUCUAGAUGAAUGAUAUAUCAUCAAGUAUUUAAGGCAGAUUUGAGUGAUACUACUGUAUCAGGUCCAUAUUUACAUCAAAGAAUACACAAGAUACAAUAUUUGAGAGAUACUACUGUAUCAGGUCCAUAUUUACAUCAAAGAAUACACAAGAUACAAUAUUUGAGAGAUACUACUGUAUCAGGUCCAUAUUUACAUCAAAGAAUACACAAGAUACAAUAUUUGAGAGAUACUACUGUAUCAGGUCCAUAUUUACACCAAGGAAAAC